rnacentral:misc_RNA from 1 species
UGCCUAUCUGAGGUCAGUUGGUUAACCAUUAUAUUUUCUUCAAAUAAGGGAAUUUAUCUGUAAAUUUCAUGGUUUGUCUGCAGACGGCUUGACAAUUUUGCUUGCAACAACCAUAGGUUUUUGACGAGUUUAUGUGCCAAUUACGAGUUUUUUAUGUAAUGAAAUCUGAAACUGUAUAAUUACAUCAAAUUGCAUUUAAAAUUGAAUGAACUUUAGGUUUAAAUGUUAGCAUUCAUUCCAUGCAAGCAUUGGAAAUUGGAACAGGAAGUGCAUACUUAAUGAGACAAGUGCUUGUAAUAUUGUUAUAAAUAUUGCUGCUGCCUAUGAGUAAAGGAUUUGUCAGAUAAAACAUGGUGUCUGUUAUAAACUUGGUUUUGAUAAUAAGGGGUGAAUAUAUGCUAGGAGACCCCAUUGACUUUGUUCCUGACACAAUUCAACAUUUGAGUUGCCUGCAAUUUGAGGUUAGAAGGCUUCAAAAUGGUUCAGAAUUGGUAUUCUGAUUUUCCAUCUCUAUGCGAUUCAACAUUCCUUUGUCUCAUUCUCAUUUCUGAAAUCUAUUUGAUGUUCAUAAAAUUAUUAUUCUACUCAACACAAUUGCACUUGGAACACAUGUUUUUUAUUUGCAGCUCAUUCUGCUUCUUUGUUUACUAUUUUUGCUCCAUUUCUAAGAUUGUUGUUGUUCUUCAUUUGCAUAAAG